CCUUAUUGUUCCUUGGACAAUCUUUGUUUGUCCCAGGAUCUAACUUUAUAAGUUAAAAAUUGUGGACUUGGAGAAGUCUGGGGCCAGCUUGUUCCCUGCAGGCUCAAGAUCAACCAUCCUACAUAG